rnacentral:rRNA from 1 species
UACGUAGGCAGCAAGCGUUGUUCGGAGUUACUGGGCGUAAAGGGUGCGUAGGCGGCCCUGUAAGUAUGGUGUGAAAUCUCCCGGCUUAACUGGGAGGGUGCGCUAUAGACUGCGGGGCUCGAGUGUGGGAGAGGAAAGUGGAAUUCCGGGUGUAGCGGUGGAAUGCGUAGAGAUCCGGAAGAACACCGGUGGCGAAGGCGGUCUGCUGGGCAGUUGCUGACGCUGAUGCGCGACAGCGUGGGGAGCAAACAGG